GGGGAUUUAGCUCAGUGGUAGAGCGCUUGCCUAGCAAGCGCAGGCUCUGGGUUCAGUUCCCAGCUCCG
rfam:Rattus norvegicus chromosome 16, whole genome shotgun sequence.